GACAGGGGGGUCCGCCUGCGGGCCCGGCCCGGCCGCCCCUCACGGAGCAGGGAAGGGGGUGCGCGGGCACACCCUGCUUGGCCCGGGCGGUGGCAUGGGGUGAGCGCUCCAUGCGCACCGGGUCCCGCACCUUCCCAGUGCCCGCCCCGGCGGGGAGAGCUCCCUGUGCUCGUACACUUGCCUCCCGAGAGGUCCGUGAUUUCCCUUCCCGCUGCCCUGCUGCCAUAGGCCUGGUCCUUUCCCCUCUGCCCACGGCUGUGGGGUUGCUGACCCCAGACACCCUGCUCACGGGUCCGGCGGCCCCGGGCACACAACCGCGUAGGCACCACCAGCCUCCCCGCCACGGAGCCGCCGGCAGCGCCCUAUAAACAACUCAUGUGCGAAAGCCACAGCCGCUGCAGUGUGUCAUGGAGAAACAGCGGGAGAGAGCAAAGCCUUGCCAAGGGACUGGGCCCGGGAAGCAUGAGAUGGGUCAGAGGAACCCAUGGCUGUAACUGGCUGCUGUGCUGUGUCAUCACAAACCGGAUCUUCGAGGAACUUGGAGCAGCUGAAACCUCCAGUUCCCCCAGCAGUUCUGUGGGAGGAGAGGAAUGAAGCAGAACGGAUACAGGCUCCAGAAAUACCAUGUUCAUCUGUCUCCUGCAUGACUAGUCCUAUUGUAGUCCCAAGAUUUUUGCAAGGACAGGAAGGUUUGUCCAAAGCCAGUCUGCCCGAUGCAAAUCUCCACCAGUCUGCAGCAAGAGAAAGCAACAUUCUAAUGUGAGAACAUCCCCUUACAACACCAGAGCCUGGCAAACCACAUUCCAGCUCUGUCUACAGCACCCAAAUGCAUUUGAUCCACACAGCAAAUACAUGAACACCAUACUGAUGCUGGAAAAUAUCAAAGACCACGGGGUGGAAGGUGGUGAUGGGAGAAGUGGGAGCAUGGCUGCCAUGGGCAGGUGAAGCCCUGCAGCUGCAGUACACCUGUUUGUACAGGGAAAGCACUGCAAGCUGCCACCAUUCAUCCCCUGGGGAAAGGGGACAGCACUGCACGUGGCAAGAAGCUCCUCCACAGCCAAGGGUGCUCCUGGAGCCACCUCAUAUGCAGUCACAUACACCCAACCCCUCAAAGCAUCAGGCACUCCCCCAGGCAGAGCUCCCAUCCCAGAGGUGGCCACUGGCAGGAGCUGGGGGAGGUCUGGCAUGCACACAGCCCACGGGCUGCACCACUUGCCUGUGACUGAACAGGUACCAGAAAAUUCAUCAGCAAGAGGCUGGUACUUCCACGGCUGCAGCUGGAUGCCCUCAGAGCCGUAGGUCUGUGGCAGGUGGGAAGAUGGCUGCUCCAGGCCCGAGGACACCGAGCACAGCACACACAAUGCAGCCUCUGUUCACAGCACAAGCAACAGAAUCGAAACCACUUCAUUUCAAGGGGGCAUUCAGGCCUGGAGCCACCACUGGCACAGGGACAGCUCUCCAAAGUGGCAGAGUGCUCCUAUUGAGGGAGCAAGUCUGGCCUGGCUCCUGUGGAUACAGCAGCAUGCAACAGCUCCAAGGAUCAGGGCCACUGCAUUUGUCCACCCACAGGCUGAAUUCCAAAGCUCUAUCUCAGAAAACUAAGCAGGAUAUACGGGGUUUUUUUCAGACAUAACAGGUUGCUUAAGAGCUAAAGCCUCUAUUUCAUUACUCCAUUGUAGCAGGAACACAGGUCUGAACCAUCAACCUUGUACCUCUCCACAGCUGCAGUGGAAAUAAUUUCAGGUACUCUUGAAUGCAGCUGACCUGUGGGAGAGGCAGGUUGUUCACAAGGUUGCCAGAAUGCUGUUUCACUUGUGCAUGCAGCAGGCAAUCCAGCAACAAGGUGCAGUUCAGCUUUGAGAUGAUUAAACAGAUGAGAAACAUUAUCAGGCUUGAGGGAUUUGGUUUAACUGCAGUUCCAUAGAAACCAGCACUAAAAAGGCUGUAUUUUUUUCCUCAUUACCCAGAAUGCAGAACUGAACUCAAGAGACUCUUCCCUUACCUCACAGAGGCUUCACAGGCUGAUUCUUUUCAUAUUAAGACAGAAGUAUACAAAAGGAUUUGAAACACCAGCAGUUUGCCAGGGGAUUAUAAUUAUUCCCAAAACCAAAACUAGAAUGUUAUCCCCGUUUGUGUUGUGUGAGCCAGUUACUGCAUCUUCAGAGGGCACCACCUAACAUACAUUUUAUAUUCCCAUACACUUAACAGUAGCUCAUGCUGAUGAAGUGAAAGAUGCACUUUUAAGUAAAGGCUUAAAAAAAAAAAGUCUUCAGCUCUUUAAGAAUUGGAGCUUUUAAAGAAACCACAAAGCAAUCAGCUUUUGAAAGCUCUUCUGCCAUUCAGAGAAUACCAUGAAUCACACACACAUUAGCAGACGUCAUGUGCAAAUCUCUGUUGCAACAGGAGGAGGACAGACCUCAACCACUUUGGCAUCCAAAAAGUCAUCUCCAGUUUAAGCCUGCUGCUGACAACUCUUAACACUGUUAAUCACACCUUGCAGCUUAUAGUUUUGGGAGUGUUGCAGAAGAUACCACAGCAAUAAUACUGAACCUGUUUAAAAGUGUGAUAAAAUUUCAUGGAAACUUUCAGCUGCAUUAUUUGAGUCAACAGUCACACCUGAGGUAUCAGCUAAAGCACCAUUUAACUCCAGGUGCACAUUGCAAUGCCAGAAAAUAAGCAAAUUAAAUUAUUUAAUAAGUCAGACAGGCAAAAGGCUUUGAAAUAAUAAUCAAACCUGUGAUAGAAGUUGAGCUUGUCAAAGCUUUAAGAGACUUUGUGCUUAAUCUUUAAAUAUAGUGGAAGGCUGUCCAUCACCUUGUGUAUUUGCUGUGAGCCAUUUCCAUGCAAAAAGAACAAUACAGUUCUCAUUUCCACUAUCAAACCCAACACCUGCAGUGUCUGCAUUACAAGAAAAUGACCUGUCCCUACUGAAGAAAGCAAUAUGCAGGUCUCAUUGGAGAUUUGGGGGUUUCUCUUUUACUCUAAAGGGUUAUUACUACACAGCCACUCACUAUGAGCUGAUCAUUUUAUCACAUCAUCAUAACUGACACCAGGGCCAUCUUCAGGUCUUGGGUCCUCUAUAAAAAAAACACCACCACAACAAAACCCAUAAGACUUAACAGCACUGAAGAGAAUGGAAAGAAAAUUAUAAUAUUGUUUCCCCUUAUCACACUGAAUUCAUUUGCAAGACCAUCUAGCUUACUGUUCUCACCUUCAUACUCCACAUACACAUUUUCUAGUGCAGCUAUCACAGGAACUGGAGUCUGUUUAAAAACCGAGUAGUUAAUUUUCAAAUUAUUUGGGACAGGUUUUCAGAGAGAAAGCUUUUAAAAAUGCUUUAAAAAAGUAAUAUUUUUCACCAGAAUCUACCAGUAAUACAUGCUAUUUUAAAAAAUUUGGAUAUGCUGCAAACAUCCUUCCUACUCCCCUGAGCAGAAAGCUGUUGAUCUAAACUUUAAUUCACAGUAUCGUUGCUUGGGAGUUUUACCAAAUGCAGUAAUGUUUCUUGUAUGUUUCAGCAUAGAUCAGAACUUAGUUUCCUAGGUCACCUUAAAGAUAAAAUCUUUAAGUUUUCAAGCAGUAUUUGUGUGUUAAGAAUGCCUUUCUGCACACUGUUCUACUCUGAAGGGGUAUUUCCAGCUUACAGAAGAGCAGCAUGUUUUAUUCCUGGGCACAUCUGUUUCCUACUCUUAAACUACACACUUGAUCUGCACUAAAAGUGUUAUCAACUAAAUUUAUGAAGCACUUAAGCACACUAAGUAUCUAUGUAAAUCUCUGCUCAGCCCUUUAACAGAAAAGGGUAGGGAAAGAACAUAGUGUGAAAAAUAAUGAAAGAUCUGAGUGUCAAAGUAACUCUGGUAAUCUCAAAUGUCAUAGCCUUACCUAAAAGAAGAACUGGCACUUUCUCGUUUGUGACAUUAAAAGAAGGCAAGAUGAAUUUUACAAGUUUUAUUAUACAAAAGAUGAUCCAAACCCCUAAGAGCUCUUCUACAGUUCUAAAAGUUUUGUUCUGCAACUUGUACUUCCAUAUGCUUUUCCAAAAAGCCAAAAUAAAAAGACUCAUUAGUCUCACUUUCUUCUUAGCAAGAGUCUUGGAAAAACCCAACUGUAGCUGCAUCAAAAUCUGUUAUUUAUUCUUUGUAUUCCAAGAAUUGCUGAAGUCUUUUCUUAUGUUCUGUAGACACUUGAACUGCACUAAAAACAAAAGCAGAACAUUUUACAUUAAGUGUAAUACACCACAAAAAUAAAGUCUCAUGCCAAAAUUGAGUAUACAUUGAAAUCAAUUACACUGAAGUUAAAUUUUAGAAAACCCAGCUGUAUGUAAAACCUGUGUUCCAAGACAAAGAAACAUAUUAACCCUUAAAACUGUCCAUUCUCAUCUUACUACUAAAAGACACUUGUCCUAGGAAACCUUGUCCAUUUACUUACCUUUAAAUACCCACAGCAACUGAUUAACUUGCAAGGAUGACUUAGGUGAGAAUCUCUUAACGUGAUCUCUCCUGUAUAUCGAGCACUUCCAAACUGAGGGACAUUUCAUGCCCACAGGGAGAGAUAGGCACAUGCUGCAGGAAGUUUCAGUCCCACAUAUUCAGGGGCCAAGUAUGAAAGUCUGCCUGCUGUGACAGUAGCUGAGAAAGAGCCUUUGGGUGACCAGGCAGCAACGGAAUUCCAUUAUUUGGACCCUUCAUAGAUUCUCUCCCUACAGAACAAUUGUCUCUACUUGAUUUAUUUUCUUUUCAGCAGCUCAGAUUUAUUAAAUGAGUGGUAUUCACGAACUGCUUCUAAAGAGUUCAUGAAAAGUCACUAAGAAAAAUUACCCAGAAAUCUAUGAAUAAUAAAUUUCUAAGCGGGACCAUAUAUCUACACAAGAACUUUUUAAGGUUCCACAAAUCAAAAAAGUACUAAAAUACCAUGUUAGAAUAAUGACCUGCAGAGAUUUUUUUCCCCCAAACUUCCUUUCUCACAGGUUCUACAAUACCAUUAUUUAAACUAAAUUUAACAAGCAAGCAAUCAUGAAGAAUUUCUUACUUUAAGUGUUCUCCAAAGACAGUAGUUAUCCGGUACAGUGCUGUCUUCAGAGAUGCUCUAAGUGCAAACCGCAGUGUUUUGUAGGAUGUGUCCACCAGACUCCCUGAGACCCGGGAGGGCUUGCUAGAAACAUGUGGCAGUUUGAAAUGUCUGUCUACAACCUGAUUGAGAAAAACAUAAAUGAAAUCAGCUCAUCUGUUCAAUUAUUUCAUAAUGUAACCAUUUGACACGUUUGUGCCAAAUAAAGCAAAAAAAGUGCACAUUCGGAAAUUCCACCAAGACACACGAGAAUGUUUUGGAGAUUGAUCAUUUCCCAGCCAUCAACAGGAACACAGAACCAAGAUUCUCUGUUACUAGUCUUAACUGCCAAGCACAGCACAUGCUGCAGUAGAAACACAAUUCUGUCCUAUAUUAUGACUUCUUUCUUUUAGAAACAAGGGUAUUGGCUUUUUUUUUUCCCCCUUGUGCCUGUUCUUGGAAUAGAUGACUUGCACUGAAAAACUUUAAUAACCUCCAAAUUCUUUCCAAGACUGUCCAUUAGGGCAGUGUAAAAUGAUUAUGUCAAUAGGACAUGCACAGCCUUGGAAAUAAAUAUGGAUUUUUUUAAAAUACACAUUGAACAAACAUCAGUGACUUGAGGGUAAUGUCUUAGUAUUUUGAAAGAGAACAUCAUACAGAUCUUAUCUCCUGUGAUUUGCAAUGUCUCCAAGUGCUCCAUGUUGCAUGAGGAAUUGUGUACAGCCAAAUACAGUCCUAACUCUGCAUAAAAUAUAGUAGUAUAAUUGUUGCAUCCCUGAAAUAAGCACACAGUACCAUUUUUUAUUUUGAAACAUUCCAUGCUUUCUCCUUCUACAUUUUAAAAAACAAACAGGGUUUUUAUUCAGCUGUUUCAUAGUGCACACGGUGACAACCAGCUGUUUUGUUCAGAUUAACUGCAAAAGAGCUGUUUCAGUGGCAACAACUUGAAUGUUAUGACUAGUCAGCAAGGUCAUAAUGUAAAAUUAACAAGACUCCUCCUAAACUUGUCCUGCAGUAAGGAAAAGUUAACAGUUUUACCUCCUGAAGAGUCAGUAAAGUAUUCAGGAUAGCUGGCAGUGUAGUUUGGACAACUCCAAACUGGUCUUCAGUAAAGGAGGCUGCUACCAAGUGAGACAGACCUUUAAAAAAAAAAAAAAACACAAAAGAAUUUUGCUCUAAUUAAUGCUUCAAAAGUUGAGAAUUCAGUAACAAAGAUCAUGGCAUUGCCUGAAGAAUCUGCUAGUGUGGUAGAGCUCUUCAGGACUUACUGCAGCCAGCUGACAGCUACCUCAGCUUUGGCUCAAUGACUAAAUCACUCACUGGUUUUACAAGUGUAUUAUAGCUUGAGGUCGAUAAAGCAAGAGAGGUUAUAUAUUAAAUAAAUUUUUAAAAACA